GCUCACAGAGUGAAACCUUUCUUUUGAUUAGGCAGGUUGGAAACAUUAUUUUUGCAGAAUCUGCUAAAGAACUUUUCUCAGCCCACUGAGGCCUAGAGUAAAACACUGAAUAUCAAGCCAUAAAAACAGAAAGUAUGCUAUUCGUGAAUCUGCUUUUUGAGGUGUGAAUUCAGCUGAGAAAGUUAAACCUACCUUUGAUUCAGCAGGUUAGAAACAAUUUUUUGUGGAAUCAACCAAGGGACAUUUCAUACCUCACUGAGACCUAUAGUAAAAUAUCAAA
rnacentral:lncRNA from 1 species